rnacentral:misc_RNA from 1 species
GUGGGAGGGGGCUUGCCCCCGAUGACGGUAGGUCAGCCAGCACUUGUGUUGACUGAGAUACAGCCAUCGGGGGCAAGCCCCCUCCCAC